GGGGGCGCAAUAGGAUCGACGUGCCUAAUAAAAAGAUUGCUUUUACUCGGGAUGAUUCCGCCGAUGGCUUUUGCCAUAUGGGUCAAAACAAAGAAACGCAAACGAUAAUAAUCGUUCUGUAGGUCGUUUAGCUUUAGCAGCUUAACCCUACGCGGCUGGAGGGUGUGCCGGGCAACAGAAAAACCCUCGCU
rnacentral:tmRNA from 1 species